rnacentral:rRNA from 1 species
GUUGACCUCGGAUCAGGUAGGAAUACCCGCUGAACUUAAGCAUAUCAAUAAGCGGAGGAAAAGAAACCAACAGGGAUUGCCCUAGUAACGGCGAGUGAAGCGGCAACAGCUCAAAUU